GAUGAACGCUGGCGGCGUGCCUAAUACAUGCAAGUCGAACGCGCAGCGAAAGGUGCUUGCACCUUUCAAGCGAGUGGCGAACGGGUGAGUAACACGUGGAUAACCUGCCUCAAGGCUGGGGAUAACAUUUGGAAACAGAUGCUAAUACCGAAUAAAACUUAGUAUCGCAUGAUACAAAGUUAAAAGGCGCCUUGGCGAUACCUAGAGAUGGAUCCGCGGUGCAUUAGUUAGUUGGUGGGGUAAAGGCCUACCAAAACAAUGAUGAAUAGCCGAGUUCAGAGACUGAUCGGCCACAUUGGGACUGAGACACGGCCCAAACUCCUACGGGAGGCUGCAGUAGGGAAUCUUCCACAAUGGGCGAAAGCCUGAUGGAGCAACGCCGCGUGUGUGAUGAAGGCUUUCGGGUCGUAAAGCACUGUUGUAUGGGAAGAACAGCUAGAAUAGGGAAUGUUUUUAGUUUGACGGUACCAUACCAGAAAGGGACGACUAAAUACGUGCCAGCCGCCGCAGUAA
rnacentral:rRNA from 1 species